rnacentral:rRNA from 1 species
GAUGAACGCUGGCGGCGUGCCUAAUACAUGCAAGUCGAGCGAACAGACGCGGAGCUUGCUCCUCUGACGUUAGCGGCGGACGGGUGAGUAACACGUGGAUAACCUACCUAUAAGACUGGGAUAACUUCGGGACACCGGCGCUAAUACCGGAUAACAUGUUGAACCGCAUGGUUCAAUAGUGAAAGUCGGCCUUGCUGUCACUUAUAGAUGGAUCCGCGCCGCAUUAGCUAGUUGGUAAGGUAACGGCUUACCAAGGCAACGAUGCGUAGCCGACCUGAGAGGGUGAUCGGCCACACUAGAACUGAGACACGGUCCAGACUCCUACGGGAGGCAGCAGUAGGGAAUCUGCGGCAAUGGGCGGAAGCCUGACAGAGCGGCCCCACGUGAGUGGAGGAAGUCUUCGGAUCGUAAAGCUCUGUUAUUAGGUAUAAACAAAUGUGGAAGUAACUAUGCACGUCUUGACGGUACCGAAUCAGAAAGCCACGGCUAACUACGUG